GGGAGGCUGAUGGGUGAGCCAGGCGAUGAGAGGGUCUGGACACACACAUUAUCUAAGUGCAGGUUUAACAAAAGCCCAGGCCACAGCUAUGAAAUUUUAAAUCAAAGCCGAUCCAGCAAACAACACAAGGCAGUCUGCAGAAUGAGCACAGCAUAAGAAAGCAAUUUACUGCUUCUUACACGUCAUCCAAAAAAAUGAUACAAGAGAGGCCGCGUCCUGUGAGAAGUCUAAUUUAGGCUGUUAGGGCAGACCAGGAGAGUGUUAGCUUUCCACAUGUUAACUUUUAUUAAAGAUAUUAACCUUGAGGAAGAGGCAGAGGAAGCUGUGUCAGUGGAGGUUAAGAAUUAACACCACCAGGGUGAGCAGUUAAAGAAGUAUUAUGUUGCUCACAUUCAGGAAAACCUCUUCCUUUUCUUUCUCCUUUGUGCAGCUUUUGGUAGAGGGCGAAACAGUAUCAACACUAAUAAGGCAAUAAUAUCAGUAAUUGCAUCCUCAAUUGUAAUUAUGGUGAUUAUGCAGUCCUCUUUGAUAUGCAGUUCUGCUCCAUUUUCUAUACCAGCCAUAUGUGAACAUGCGACUAUUAUGCUAAUCAUUCCACAUCCAAGUGUGCAAUUCUAAAGUGAAAUAAAGUUCACCACCUUGAGUAAGAAAGCCCAGUGAGAAAUGCCCCCCCCUAUGUUCAAACUUGGACCAUUAAGAAAUAAAAAUUAGGGCAUGGUCAGUUCUCAGUGUAGGUCUUUAAAGGAGGAAAUACCCCGCUUAUUGACUGUUGAAUGUUAAUUGCCCCAAAGACGAAGGCUAGAUAUAAACUAAAGAGCAAUGUUGACGCAUUCCAAAAUACUUAAUACUAUAAGACUGGCACAUAAUUAGACUUGGUCCAACUUUUAUGGGCUAUUUUGGCCCCUGCUAAUGGCUCUGUGCUCGGACUCAAACAGGCUAAUAAAGCAUAGUCUAGUGUAGUAGACUGGGCAUUAUUAAAAAGAGGCAGACACUAUUAAAGGCCAUCAAAUCCAUCUCAACAAGGCAACACAAUUUCAGUGCUGAGAGAGCGGUAAAACAAAAAGACAGCCUUUUCUAAUCUGUGGUUUAUUUAAUAUGUUUAUAGCAUGGGUGGCCAGUUUAAUGAGCAGUCUCUGGGCUACAUCUCUUCAGGGUUAUAAUAGAGAUCUGUUCCAGAAUCCACAAAGCAAAUACAGCACAACAACUGUGUAACGUCAAAAAUAUUUGGUCUCCAUAGUAACCCCACAGCAUUCAUAUAAGAAGUGAAUGUUCAAUGAAAGUGGCUUUUUCAUUGUUAUGGACUUCAACAUUCAGUUCAGGCUGUGGGGUCCCACUGGUAGGUCGCUCCUGCUGGUUUGUCGCUUUAGUUAAAGAUGGAUGGGAGUGGAGCGAAUACUGUUCUGACUUUCUCUCUGGUCUAUACAGAUGGUUUGGCAGGGUGACAAGACAAACUGGGUCUGGCAUCAAACCCCAACCUCUAUUUCAUGGUGGCUUAGCACUUUCUUUCUCACUAGAUUACACUUGCUGUGUUACGAGGGUCCAGCCCUUCAAACUGAUUUACUGAUCCAUUUUGCCAGAUAUCAUGGUGGAGAGCUUGUGACAGGAGAGCAAAUAAGAACUGAUCAAAGAUACCCCAGUCCAAGUCAAUCCACAACUUUCUUUAUUCAAUGCAACUGCAAUUCAUUUUGGAGGUGUGGUAUUCAUGUCAAGACUGAUCCGUUGAUUAGAGCCAUGACUGCUACAUGAGAGCAUAAUGUGAUACGCAUUGUGCAAAUGAUUGUGAGGGCAUGAGCUUCUCUUCACAUGGCCUUUUCCCCAGGCCCAGGCUGAAAGCCACUAACACGUAAAGUGCAGUACACACUCAACCCACAGAAAAACACAUAUCUUUUCAAGAAAUGGGACAAGAGCCUGGGAUUUCCUGGAUUUCUCUGCGGGCCACAUUCUCCACCACAUAUACACAUGCAUGAGAAGCUUCAUAAACCACAUGUGCAGAGACACACACAUAGACGGAUUCAGCCAGCAGAGGAAUGAGGUGACUCAUACUGUUCUUUUAACUGUGGUGGGAGAGGUGUGAUGUUGCCUCUGUCUAUCGUGCUUCAGACUGAUAAUGAACAGACUGUGGAGGUUAAAAGGGUUUACUAAAGGGAAUGAAUUAACAAUUUAUUUGUAGGAUUACUUAUCUCCACUGGUAAUUUCUCACACUACACCUCUGGGCAGGAGUGUGUCCAAAACUCAUGUCUUUCAACUGGAAUGUAAAGAAUUCUGUUUCUGAAAGUUGAUUUAUUUUAGAGGUGAAAGAUGCAUUUUUAAUUCCCAAAAUGGGCCUCAAGUGCAACAGAAUUAGACCUAGGUGUCUGUCUGAAGGAUGUGUUGGAUACGUGGUCUAUUGGUGCAUUAUUAUUAUUUAUUCAUUUAUUUACUUAUUUUGUAACACAAGACAGAUAUAUUAACAGGCUUUUACUGGAGGGACAUAAUUAGAAAACUGUAGAACUCUCCUUGAAUGCAGUUCAGAACAACAUUUAAAAAAAUGUAUUUUUACAUUCAUAGCAUUUCAGAUAUGAAUGAAACUCAUAAACAACAAAUUAUGUGCAAUGUCUUUGUGAUGCAGAAAAUGUGGCUUAUUUUUUAAAAAUCUUUUUUAAUUUUUUAUUUUUUUACUUAUACCGAAUAUUUGAAUCAGACAGUUGAAAUAAUGCAUGUCCAACACUGGGAUGCCAGAAAUUGGAUUUUACCGCCAACAAAAAGGUUCUGCCCUAACACCAGAUAUGCAAAGCGCAAACAUAUCUUUAAGUAGUGAAUUUAAAAAUUAAUUUUUGUGUUGUUGACUUUAAAAGCCAUAUUCAUUCUUCAGAGUGGCUAAGAGAGGGCUAGUAUACCUUGUUAUGCCACUCAAAGGCACACUGUGUAAAAAUGGGAAAAUAAAGCAAAAUAUAUCAGUCGGGCCGUCAGUGAAACGCUAUAACAAAUACAAAUGAAAAAUACAUGCAUAGUAUGUUGCUAGUUUGUCGGCUCAGUGCUACCAUAUUAACAUGACAGUGAAAGACUGUGGCACUAGUAAAAGGAGACCCUCAACAAUAGAUGUAGGUAUAUAGACAUGUACCAAGCAGGAGGGUUUUUAUAAUCAGGUUAUUAAAUAUGAAUUUAAACAUCAUUAAGAACAUAAAGAUCCAUUCCUACCAAGUUUAUUCAGCUAAAUACCCCUCAAUUUCAACUGCACCUAUGAUAUAGUCAAUAUAACAUGUUGCAUUAUUACUACAUGUAGCCACAUCAUUGGAGGACACAUGUCAAGACUUAUAUACAGAAACAAAGGAGCCUCCAAUGAGUCUCCUAUUUUUGGCUCCCUACACUUUCUUUACUUCUUUGCUGAUGGAUUAUACAGAACCAACAGGUGUCCAAGGGGGAUUCUUCUUCCUGAUUACACGGAUGGUUCACUUAACCAUUACAUUGAGUGGGGUAUGCGUACACACAGAAGGAACUCUUUUGAUUACUUAUUACUUAACCUGUAAUGGAUUCUUCCCCUUUUUCUCUGCAUGUCCUGCUAUCCCCCCAUCUCACUACUCCAUCCACCCUUCUAAAUAAAUGGAAAAAUAUUCAGUGCCCUGGGCUACUGCUGAACUUCUCACUCUCUGCAUCCAAUUUGAAGCGGAGCUGCUGUGAUGUCACCAGAGCGUCUGAAUAGAGAGAAAGAGGAGAGGGGAGGAGGCCAUGAUGAAGGGAACAAGAGAGAAGAGCUGGCAACCUUCAGACCUCCAAGGUCACACUUCUUAACCCCGCUGCUAAAAAUCCAAUAACACUUUAUGAAUGUUUUAGUUAGACGUUGUUAAUGCAGCUGAGCAUCUGUUUCCAAAAGAAUACAAAUGAGGUGCUGUCUUGCUCUACACUUCCCCAGCUUCUCACACACGAAACACACACACACAUGCAAUGCGCCUCAGGGCACAACAUCCCGAUGUUCAGAGGGAAAGUGGCCCCUAUGACCAGGACUCCACAGCGUUAACUCAGAACCAUCUUGUUGGAUUUGACUGGCUGCAUAUUUAAAAUCAAUGCUCAGGUUAAACAUCUGGCCCUUUAAAUUCAAGGUUGAUCAGUAAGCAACUAUGUUGCAAACCACACUGCUGCUUUGUACAUUUCUAACUAAAGUGAGACCUCAAGAAAAAAGGAGGGUUUGCAUCUUACUAUCUGUUUAAAGGUCCAGACCUGCCUUUCUCCACACUGUGUAUCCUCUCAAAUAAACCAAUAUAUGUUAUAAGUGUGAGCUUGGUGGCUGAGAAAGAAACUUGGCCCCAAAGUCAAGGUUGUUUGAAAUAUUCUUUGGUGAAUUCAACCCAAAGGUUUUAGUGGCACAGGCUUCCAGUAGAGGUCUGAGUGCUGCAGACCUCGGAGUGGAUUAAGUGGUAGACCUAUAUUUCCAGAUAAAACAGUCUCUCAAGCAUGACUCAAUACCAAACACUCCCCGACACACUCGGCAAGCUACAUGUUCAAUCCAAUUGGUAGAAAUAAAUUCAAUACAACAGAAAGCCUGCAUUAAAGUAGAGUGUUGGUUUUUGUGCAUCUGUGUGUGUAUCGUGCACAUGCUCUGCAACACAAAAGUGAGUAAGAAGGCUCAGUGGUUUAAAUAAGCCAGCAGGGUUGUGUACCCUCCUAUUUGCCAGAGUGGGAGCUUGUGGUCACAGGAGAAAAGGCCACGGGGAAGAAGGGAAUAGAGGUGUCGCAGUGGCCGUGAUGAUGAUGGAGUGUCUACAAAUAUGACUCCAAACAGGGUCAUUUUGAUUUGGCAGCAGAACGCGAAGGCUGGCCCGUUAACUCCUGACCUUUUGAGUGUGACCUGUGGGGGAGGGGUCUAUCCGCCUGGAGAGGACAGAAAGAAGGGGAGAAAGAAAGAGAGAGAGGGGCUGUGCAGUGUCAGGCCCAUUAUGACCCGCUAAAAACUCAGGCCGCUCUCCGGCGAGGAGCCAUCCAUCAUCUGGGCCUCUCUAAUCAGCAUGUUUGUCACUGUAACUAAACAGUGGGCUGAGCCACAUCACCACGCUAUUGGCCCUGACAGGGAGAAAUAAAUCUGCUGCCGGCCAAUGGGCUGCAGGCAGCCGAGCGUGACAGGAAAGGUGACAGACUCUUGAGGUCUCAACUAGUGCGAGAUUAAGGGGAACUAGCCUCGACUCUUGGGCGGAGGAAACAUUUGAACAGUUUUACUGGUCUUUAGGCAGCAGUCGGGGCUGGGGCUGCAGUGGUGUGGGUGUUGAAUGUGAGAAUGCCUUUGUCCCACUCUGGCAGCAGACAGGUCCAUUUGUUCAUUUAGGAGAAACUCGGGUUCUCUUUGUAAAAGGUAACAGAUAGAUGUUCUGUUCGCCUCCCCCAUGACAUCUCAGGAGUAAAAAUCCUUUCUGUGGUGGUCACACAGGAUUAACCCUGACAUAUUCUUCAGCUGCAAAUGCUUCUCAGACAAACAAACUUGAUCAUAGGAAAGUCUACAACAUUAUUAUUUGAACACAGAUCUAUAAUCACUACUCCUCUGGACAAAACUCUCACUUUCACUGUAACAGGGUCCUCUGAUAACAUUUUUUGGGGGAAGUAUAUAAGCGUGUCCUCAUUCUCUGCAAAGGCACAUAAGCCCAUUGAGCCUGCUCACUGUUGUUUUGUUUGGUUUUGUCUGGCCCUUUGCUUACAUCUCUGCGUGCGGGCUGUACACAGAAGCUGAAAACGCUGCAGUUAUUUGACCACUUGGAGCAGGGACCUUUUUUCCACUCACUGCAGUUAACAACCCAAAAAGAAAGAAAACACAUUUUUCCCAACGAUGCAAUGUCAUUUACUACCAGCAGCUUCAAACAACAGAAUUCUGGGAAAUCUCAGGAAAUCACAACUAGCACUGUAAUUCUGAAGGUUUGAUGGCUUACUUCAUAACAUUGAAUUUCUCACUUUCUCCUCUGGUCCUCAGAAAACCUAGUUCUAUAUGUGUUUUACUCACAGUCUUCUUAUAGACAGUGAUGCACAUAGUCUGACUUUCAUAUCUGUCACAGCCUCAUUAUUUGCAGUACUUCAUUUCCCAAAAUACAUCAUGGAAAAGGCAAACAAAAAGAGGAAGAAGGUGUCUAAAAAGUAAAGGUUUAGCAAUAUGGAGCUGUAGUUUCAUAGCUUUCAUAGCAAAAAUACAACGAUGAAAGAUUUUGACAUUGACUAAUGUUUGAAAUUUUCUCCAAUAUUGGUCCAUGCUUGUGAAUUGUACUUAAGUAGGUUUGGUUUUAAAGUAGGUUUUAAAGACAUACAGUGCCUUUCUCCUACUCAGGUACAGAAACAGAUUCUCUGAGUAAGAAAAAAAAAUAAAUAAAUAAAUAAAUAAAUAAACUUUGGCCGCUACAAUCAAUAAUUGCCCUGUGUCACUUUAUAAUCAUUUCAUAAGAAGCGUGUUUGACUUUUUUUUAUAGCUCUGGUAAUGACCCCGGAUCAUAUUUCACUCUCUGCAGGUUUCAGUGGUGGCAGUGGCGGGUUGCAUGGAGGAGGAGAACCUGCAUAUACUCAUUGCUGCAAAGUAAAAUGACACUAUAUCAAAUCAAGCAUUUCCAUAUGUGGACUGUUGCUGCUGUUGUGGGUUUGGCAGCAUAGAAGCGAGGAAACAGACCAAAAGAUGGGCUGUGCUCUUGGGUUCAGGGAGAGAUGAGGGGAUUCUGUGAUCUCUGGAGCCUCCUACUGAGAGAAAACAGGAACUGUCAAACAAGGGACUGUUGAAGCCCAUGCUGAGCGUUAUUGCUGAGCUCUAUCUUAGCUGGUUUAACUCAGAUUUAAAAAAAAAAAAAAAAAAGUUCUCUGGUCUGCAGGCCAAAGACAUGAAAUAUUCUGAAAAAAUAUUAAAACAUGUUUCAGAUAACAUACAUCAAUUAAUGUAGUUAUAAAACCACUUUUUGCCCAAAUCCUUUGACCUCCAAGGCAGCUGCAGUGACUGUUGAUCAAAUAGUUAAACUCAGAAACAGAAAUGAAGGGGGAUAUAAAUGCAUGGGUCUGAAGAACAGACUCACUUUGAAAAGUUAAUAACAACUGCUUUACCAUUAGACGAGGGAAUUCAGUCCAUAAAUCUCAAGGGCACUUGAGACUUGUCUGGAGGCCAGUGAAGAUAAUUGGGCAGUGUUCUGCAGUGUUGGCCUCUCCACUGUAAGAGGAUGUGUUUCACUUAGACAGGAGCCACAUGUUGUCAACCUUCGCAGAUUCACGGAAAAAGGUCAGCAUGACCCUCUUGACUCUCAUCAGAAGUUGUCUGCAUGGGCAGGAAAAAAAACACGCACACACACACACAUCCGGGAGAACAUCUGUGUAACCCCAAACUUUCCAAGAUGGUUGAGUUCUUUCUUUUUUUCGAGGUAAUAGAGACAUUACCGCUUCAAAAUUAAAUUAGCCAUUUUGCCGCGGUGUGGGUCAGCGGCUCAGGCAGUGGUCUUUUACUGGAAGCUACCCUUUGCCAAGCUUGUCUUUGCAGACAUAAAUUAGGCCAGCAGUGCUUGGCUACAACAUGUCAGGAGCUAAACGAAGAUUGAGUGAUGAGGUCGAACAGGGGAGACUGAGGACCAUGAUGACUGCUAGAAUGGUGAAACUUUUGUCCUUCAUUCUCCCCCUUGUUGAUCCCCUGCUACCCACCUAAAAUAAAGGAGGAGGGGCCCUCCAGUCCCCUAGUACAUGAGUUGGCACAAGUCUGAGCUCAGGAAGUCCAGGAGACGCCUCUGCCUGCCCUGAGAGUGAAACCUAAAACCUGUGACAUAGCCAAUACAUGUCAUAUUCUUUCAGUCAAGAAUGGUUUAUUUUUGAAGGAAUUUCAGCGUAAAACCUGUUCUUCAUAGUUACCCUGAUUUGUUUAAAAAACCAAGGUGGAUAGGUCUGGUCGAAUUGCCAACAAGAGACCACUGUUUUGUUUGGUUGUUAAAAAAAAAAAAGUUUUUCAUCAGGACAUUAUAUUUCUCCCUUCCAAAACAAUGACAAAAUGUCUUGUUCUACAGUGAAAACAGUGAAUAUCUUUCCAGGAGUUGGCAUCACAUCCAAAUUUUCAGCAAAUCUGUUAUAAAGGAGAAAUAUUAGGGCAUAUUAUAAAAACAGACAGAGUCACAUAUAUUCAGUCGGAGUGCCUACAGGGGCCUGGAGCUUCUCCAGGUGCUGUUCUCCAUCUAAACAACCAAAGCCAACUAAUAGGCCAGGACGAGACAGAUCCUUCAGCUCUCUGCUUUUGGCUGAAUCUCACUACAAGUCUCAAGAAGACAUUUUUAUGCAGAGGAACAACAAAAGCAACUGGACGUUCUCCAAGAGCUGAGUUGACACAGAUUGUAGGAAACAUAUUUAAACUUGUGCAACUGAAAGGUUGAAAUCGUCUAUAAAAUCUUUUUCUACUUGUUUUAAAUUACAAACACAAGUACUUCUGCCUGCCGAUUAACUGCUGAAACUUUACAUGAUUCAAAUAAUAUCUGGCUUCCCCACAUGAAAUGGUGUUUGUAAGCAGGCUAAUGACAAAUGUUAAUCUUCUUGUGCAGCCUUACUGUACUGCUACAUGCAGAAGUAAACAGAGGAUAUUUUGGAUAUAUCCUCUUUUCUCCUUUUUUUAUUUUCUCAUCAAUGCACUUCUCACAUACAGGCUCCAAAUACAAAUAAAACUUCUAUGAUAACAACCCAGGAAAUAACUGAUUUCUAUCAGGACACUCUUAGUUCAAUGUAGCCGUGAUUCAGUGCUGUAACCGGGAGACUAUUUGUUGAGACUCAUCAUUUCAGGGGACGAAGGAAGGAUGAAAAGAAGAAUACUUGAAAGACAAAAAAUUUCCAAUGAAAAAAUAAAUAAAUACAAUACUUAAAUCAACCACUUUAAGUAAACGAAAAGUACGACUUUUAAAAGGUCAGGACACAUUAAAAAUUUAGAAUUACACAUGUCUGAUUUUUUACUAUCUACUUAACACAUUUUGAAUCGAAACGCUCCCUCACAAGCUGGUUAACACUGAUUCUCCCCUGUUGUUGUGGUAAUUGAAAAAAAAAUGGAUCAAUUAUCAAAACAAAUGAUGAGUAUGUAGAAAUAACACGUCAUCUGCUUCCCUGAGACCUGGAACACCUAAAAACACCCAUUCUACUACUUUUUUUUUUUUUUUUUAACUAUUAAAGUUUUUCUUCAGUGGUCUUUAAAUUGUGAUUAUUAAGCUUUUAGUGAAAAUCACGUUACCUGUGUCAUUUUCAAGAGAUUUUCUUCUGCAGAGCUCCUGUAGCUCAUUAAGCAUUUGCCGCUCAGUUGUGGGUGGAGACAGAACCGCUCUUCACGUUAGCUUGCAGCCUAACAUUGCCGGUGUAGUAGAAGUGGCAGGUCACAUAGGAGCUAUUCAGCUCUCGGACACUAAUGUCUUUGGGGACAUGAUGACAGUUAGUAUCAUAAUUAGCUUCUUUUACAAGCUUUGUAAUCCACUAACCCACACGCUUGUUCAGCAAUCAUCCUCUCAACCUCUCACAGUCUGGCCUCCAUAGCAGGGCUCUCGGGUUGGAGCUUGCAUUUGUUACAUAGGACAUUUCACUGUUUCUGAGCCUGCCGUUUUGGUCUGCUAGAGAUUCACAGUGAUUUGAAUCCAGAAACACUCAGAAAUGCAAUUUCACACUUAUUUUUCUCAUUAUAUGUCCCCUAGCAUAAAAAAAUGCCAUAUGAACAUGUAGGCAACCAGAAACACAUGAUUUUCAUCGGAGUUAAACAAAAAUUGCAGUAUUUAAGUCUUCCUUUUUGGCUUGGAGUUCCAUGUAUCUUAAGACUUGGCACAUUUUUAUGAACUGAACAGUUAGCUGAGAUAAUGAAGUCCUUCCUCUGUGUAAUGAAAGUACCUGCUCGUGGUGAAUCACACUCGCAGGGGGAGAAGAACUGAGCACAGACUGUGAGUUACCUGUGAUCAUUUACAUCUUAAACGUGUAGCUAUAAAUGCAGAAAUUUGUGCCAUUUUAGGUUUAAACGUCCUACUGGAAGGGUUACGAUUUCAAACAUGACCCAUAUGAGUAGACCAUACAUCACUAUCACAUUUCUACUGAUAAAUCUUCUACUACAUGCCAACUUUAAAGAAGUCACCUAUCAGUAGUCAAAGAGUAUACCUGCAACCAUCGACUGCAGCCGUCUUCUUUCUCUUCUCUAUCCUUUGGAUGUCAGGAAAAAAAAAUGUGAAUGAGUUUUUAGACUCUGAUUUCCUAAAUACAGUGAACACUGAACUAUCCUAUACUGAGAAAUUGAAUUCCAUCUAUUCUUGAAAUUUAGAAUUUAUUUCGAAAUUUUUUAACAUGAACAUAUUUUAGGUAAAAUGAAUUCACUCUACAUUGCCUAUUGGUGUGACUGUGUACCCUUGUGUGUGUGUGUGUGUAUGUGUGUGUGUGUGUGUGUGUGUGUGUGUGUGUGUGUGUGUAUGUCAGUCCUGUGAUCGAAUGGCAGUUAUACCCUGCCUCUUACCCAGUAACAACUGGGAUAAGCUCCAAUGCCCCCAGCUCACCCCAAAAGGGAUUAGCAAUACGGAUAAUGGAUGGACAGAUGAAUGGAUGGAUCAUUUAGAUUAGACCAAAUGUAUUUUGUAAUCAAACUAUUAAUUUAACCCUUUAAACCCUUUAAAAUAAUGGUUAAAGCAUAAGAAAAUGUAAAUUGGGUAAUGAAAAAUAAAAAAAAAAUACACAUGUAGCAUGAGCAUCUUACAUUGUUUGAGUAUCAUUGGACCCACAACAAAAGAGCUGCGCUCUAUUGGCAUUCAUACUGUCAAAUAUCAGACAGUCAAAAUAAGAAUCAGAAAGAAAAAGUUUGUGAAAAAUGACCAGAUUAAUAGGUAUACAAGUACUGAUAUGAGUUAUUAGCUUUAUAGUUCAUUAAAAAAUCCCCCUAUGCCUUUCAAAGUUCUUAUUCCACUAUCAACACCAAGUUGGUGAGGCUUGGUGUAAAACAUGGUGGAAGGGUAGAGGCUCCGCUCUUCUGUUUAAAAAAAACCCUGAGGUAUUAGGGUGGACUAAUCUUUAAAAGGUUAAUUUAUUCAUAGAGAUUUUGACAGAGAUGUAUGGCCCAACCAACAUCCCAGGCACCUCUUCCCAGAGGGAGACGACUUGUGCAAAGAACAGCGAGGGAGAGAAGGAAGAGGAGGGGGUGGGGGGGGGUGGGGGGCAGAAAGAUGGAGUGCUGCAGAGAGACAGAGUGGAAAGUCAACAUGCUAUAAACACAAACACAUAAUUACCUCACAGGGGCUGACAAUGACUCUGGCCUUUAACCCAGCACACUUAAAGAUCUCCAAGUCUGUCCUUUCAGCUCAGGAAAUGUGUACUCAGUUUUAUUGCACAUAUAAUGUUGAAAUACUAAAACGAGUUCAAGUAUAAAUGGAUGGCACAAAAAUAUGUUAGCAGAUAGUUUUUCACAAAAUGUUCUCAAUCAGCAGUGUCAUUUUUACAGACUAUUUACAGUUUAUACUGACCACUCUAAGUCACCAUGUGUGUUGAGGAUAAGUGAUUUUUCAACGUUUUUGAAUCACUAAUCAGAAUGUAAAGGUUUUUUUGUUUUGUUAUGUGUGUUCAUUGUGAACAGAUGGAGACUUUAUAGACAGUUAAACUACCAGAAAAGACUUGAAUAACCUUAGAAUACUGAGUGCAAUGGGAUGGAUUGUGGAGGUGUUAAAGGGAUACUACGGCAUAAAUUUAAGCCUUGGUCAAACACACUCUAACACCGAGUUAGACCCCCCUCGAGAGAUGAAUGUUGCAGACUGCUUGCUUUUCUAGUUAUACCAACUUCAGCAAUUACCGCAUGAUAGCAAUACACAGCGGUCUGCGUUUCCAUGACAGCCUGUGUCAGACCCCUUCUGAAGAGAAACAACUUGGAUUAUCAGCAAUACCUGAUAAUUACAGACCUGUGUCCAACCUGCCAUUUUAAGCAAAAUUUAAGAAAAGAUUGUUUUCAACCAGUUGAAUGAUUUUAUGACUUUUAAAAAUAUCCAUGAAAUAUUUCUAUCUGUUUUUUUUUUUUUUUUUUUUUUAAAUCACAGUACAGAGACAGCACUGGUCAAAACUGUAAGUGACCUCAGGUCCAACAUGGACAAGAAAUUAAUCUCUGUUUUAGUUCUGUUGGACCUGAGUGCAGCCUUUGACACAGUGGAUCACACAUUUCUCUCAAACAGACUUCAUAGCCUCAUGAGCAUCUCUGGUACUGUUUUUAACUGGUUCAAAACAGGAAAUUGUAUGUUAGCGUUGGGGAAUGCUCAUCAAAAACAUAUGAAAUGGAAUGUGGCGUUCUCCAGGGCUCAAUUUUAGGUCCAACACUUUUUAAUCUCUACAUGUUAACAUUGGGAGAUGUCAUCAGGAGGCACAGCAUCAGAGUUUCACCUCUAUGCAGAUGACA